rnacentral:rRNA from 1 species
GUCUAUGGCCAUAUCACCCUGUACAUGUCUGAUCUCGUCUGAUCUUGAAAGCUAAGCAGUGUCGGGUCUGGUUAGUACUUGGAUGGGAGAUUGCCUGGGACUAUCAGGUGCCGUAGGCU